rnacentral:rRNA from 1 species
AACGAACGCUGGCGGCAUGCCUAACACAUGCAAGUCGAACGAGACCUUCGGGUCUAGUGGCGCACGGGUGCGUAACGCGUGGGAACCUGCCCUUAGGUUCGGAAUAACUCCCCGAAAGGGGUGCUAAUACCGGAUAAUGUCUUCGGACCAAAGAUUUAUCGCCUUUGGAUGGGCCCGCGUUGGAUUAGCUAGUUGGUAGGGUAAAAGCCUACCAAGGCGACGAUCCAUAGCUGGUCUGAGAGGAUGAUCAGCCACACUGGGACUGAGACACGGCCCAGACUCCUACGGGAGGCAGGAGUGGGGAAUAUUAGACAAUGGGCGAAAGCCUGAUCCAGCAAUGCCGCGUGAGUGAUGAAGGCCUUAGGGUUGUAAAGCUCUUUUACCCGGGAUGAUAAUGACAGUACCGGGAGAAUAAGCUCCGGCUAACUCCGUG